UUUUAUGAUGCGAUAAUUUGCGAUUGACACUAAGUUCGGGAGGCUCUCGCCGGAGCUUCAAAACCGACUUGGUGAUGUGAUAUUCAAUUUCUUACAUAUUCUGAAU
rnacentral:snoRNA from 1 species